rnacentral:rRNA from 1 species
AUUGAACGCUGGCGGCAUGCCUUACACAUGCAAGUCGAACGGCAGCGGGCCCUUCGGGGUGCCGGCGAGUGGCGCACGGGUGAGUAAUGCAUCGGAACGUACCCGGGUGAGGGGGAUAACCGGCCGAAAGGCUGGCUAAUACUGCAUGAACUCGGAAGAGCAAACCGGGGGAGCUUCGGGCCUCUCGCUCUCGUGGCGGCCGAUGGCCGAUUAGGCUAGUUGGUGGGGUAAAGGCGCACCAAGGCGGCGAUCGGUAGCGGGUGUGAGAGGACGGUCCGCCACACGGGGAGUGAGCCACGGCCCAGACUCCUGCGGGAGGCAGCAGUGGGGAAUCUUGGACAGUAGGCGCAAGCCUGAUCCAGCGAUGCCGCGUGGGUGAAGAAGGCGUUCGGGUUGGAAAGCCGUUUCGGCGGGGAAGAAAUCGGUCAGGCGAAUAGGAUGGCCGGAUGACGGUACCCGCAGAAGAAGCACCGGCUAACUACGUG